rnacentral:rRNA from 1 species
CGUGCGCAGGCGGUUAUGUAAGACAGAUGUGAAAUACCCCGGGCCGUCAACCUGGGAACGUGCAUUUGUGACUGCAUGGCUAGAGUACGGUAGAGGGGGAUGGAAUUCCGCGUGUAGCAGUGAAAUGCGUAGAUAUGCGGAGGAACACCGAUGGCGAAGGCAAUCCCCUGGACCUGUACUGACGCUCAUGCACGAAAGCGUGGGGAGCAAACAGGAUUAGAUACCCUUGU